GAAGCUUGCGCUCGUGCGGCACAGAUUGUCGUUCGAAUGUAUUUUUCGACGAUUAUCGCGGGCAAAUAGGGGUGGAGACCCCACGCCCCCAGCGUAUUCCGCAUCCCAAAGCCCAAACGAGGAGUCGUGCCCCGCGACGACGAAGCCGAUGGCUUGAAGACGAGGAGCACAAAUCUCGUUUCGAGGUUCACCCGAAGUCGCUCCGUGGAAACGGACGACCCUAGGUGGACUAGGGAUUAUUGCCAACCGAAUUCCACUAUGUGGGUAUGCAGCACAGGAAACCGACCGAACGGCCAAGGCUAAAUUCGCUCUUGGGCCAACCAUGAAGAGGACCACACGGUUGGACGUCACCGCACGUAGCAGGGAUCCAACAAACCCAUACAAG
rnacentral:misc_RNA from 1 species